rnacentral:rRNA from 2 species
AGAGUUUGAUCCUGGCUCAGGACGAACGCUGGCGGCGCGCCUAACACAUGCAAGUCGAACGAGCGAGAGAGAGCUUGCUUUCUCGAGCGAGUGGCGAACGGGUGAGUAACGCGUGAGGAACCUGCCUCAAAGAGGGGGACAACAGUUGGAAACGACUGCUAAUACCGCAUAAGCCCACGGCUCGGCAUCGAGCAGAGGGAAAAGGAGCAAUCCGCUUUGAGAUGGCCUCGCGUCCGAUUAGCUAGUUGGUGAGGUAACGGCCCACCAAGGCGACGAUCGGUAGCCGGACUGAGAGGUUGAACGGCCACAUUGGGACUGAGACACGGCCCAGACUCCUACGGGAGGCAGCAGUGGGGAAUAUUGCACAAUGGGGGAAACCCUGAUGCAGCGACGCCGCGUGGAGGAAGAAGGUCUUCGGAUUGUAAACUCCUGUUGUUGAGGAAGAUAAUGACGGUACUCAACAAGGAAGUGACGGCUAACUACGUGCCAGCAGCCGCGGUAAAACGUAGGUCACAAGCGUUGUCCGGAAUUACUGGGUGUAAAGGGAGCGCAGGCGGGAAGACAAGUUGGAAGUGAAAUCCAUGGGCUCAACCCAUGAACUGCUUUCAAAACUGUUUUUCUUGAGUAGUGCAGAGGUAGGCGGAAUUCCCGGUGUAGCGGUGGAAUGCGUAGAUAUCGGGAGGAACACCAGUGGCGAAGGCGGCCUACUGGGCACCAACUGACGCUGAGGCUCGAAAGUGUGGGUAGCAAACAGGAUUAGAUACCCUGGUAGUCCACACCGUAAACGAUGAUUACUAGGUGUUGGAGGAUUGACCCCUUCAGUGCCGCAGUUAACACAAUAAGUAAUCCACCUGGGGAGUACGACCGCAAGGUUGAAACUCAAAGGAAUUGACGGGGGCCCGCACAAGCAGUGGAGUAU